UCGAGCUACGGCUCUUACCACCGGCGCUGGAUCUGGGCGCGCGUUAGGGGGGGAAGCUGCAGGCACAGGGCGCCGAGAGGAGAGCUUUCAAGUUACUUUGCUCCAUCUCUGCACCCGGCUGAGGCUUGCAGGCUGCGUGGUCUGGAAAUUAAGUUUCCUUGAGUUCUUCUGAGGCAGCUAAGAUUCUCAGAAUCUACAAGCCCAGCUCUAUGAUGCUACCAUCUUUCCAAGACAACCAUUAAAACUUACAGCUAGAACCAGUCAUGCAAAUAAUUUUUUGCAACAGCCUCAUGAAGGCCAAAUGAAAAUUAGAGGCCGUCUCUCCAAUGGCAAUAAGCCAAACAUCUAAGAUCUCUGGAGAUGCCUGACAUCUUGCCAUGUUGUCAUCACAUUCAUAUCCUGGAUAAGGUGAAACUAGAAAGUGUCUUCCCAUCUCUGUUCAAAGAAGUCACGUGCCAGUUUGCAAAGAAAUGCUUGUCUACACAGGGAAUCUUCAAAUUUGCACGUAUAUCAACAGGCCUUCAACAUCAUGCAUCUAAUUGUAAUCUAAAUAUAAAUAUAAUCAUGCAAUUCUCUAAAUAUAAUCAUGCAAAUUAAUAAAUGCCAUCACCUUUCAACGCUA